UACGUAGGGGGCAAGCGUUGUCCGGAUUUAUUGGGCGUAAAGAGCGUGUAGGCGGCUGGGUAGGUCCGCUGUGAAAACUCGAGGCUUAACCUCGAGACGUCGGUGGAAACCAUCCAGCUAGAGUCUGAAAGAGGAGAGUGGAAUUCCUGGUGUAGCGGUGAAAUGCGCAGAUAUCAGGAAGAACACCCGUGGCGAAAGCGGCUCUCUGGGACGGUACUGACGCUGAGACGCGAAAGCGUGGGGAGCGAACAGG
rnacentral:rRNA from 1 species